CCAAUAAUAGAUUGAAAAUGCAUCAAACAGAUCUUUUGUUAUUUUUCUAUUAUAAUAUCGGUCUGUUAUUUUUCCAUCGUUAUCUUUCGGGUUUCUCCCGAUCAUUUUGCAAAACCUCUUAGAAAACAAACAUCCCUUAUACGCACCAACUAGAGAAAAUUACCAUUCAGAAUAGACGUUACACUUGAUACAUUUUCGGAGCGAUAUUUGUCGUAAAAAAGUUGUUCGCGAAGAGAGAGGAAAAAGCACGCGUGGUGAAAUCAAUAGAUCUCUCCGAAUCUAAAAAAAAAAGAUUGUAAAAAACGCACGCGCGCACGCACAAAACGACGAAAACGUAACAAUAAUUAUUAUAAUCGCCGGACGGUGAAAAUGAAAUAUCGUUUUUCCGCGCGAGCGUUGCGUACGUGCGUGUGCGCGUCAAGCCGCCAGACGGUUACGGCCGCGUUGCCACGGGUUACCGCACGCUAACCGCGGGUACACAAAAUAAUAAUCGC